rnacentral:rRNA from 1 species
GCAUGCGGCAGCUACCAUGCAGUCGAGCGGGGAGAUGUAGCUUGCUACAUUUCCUAGCGGCGGACGGGUGAGUAAUGCUUAGGAAUCUGCCUAUUAGUGGGGGACAACAUUCCGAAAGGAAUGCUAAUACCGCAUACGCCCUACGGGGGAAAGCAGGGGAUCUUCGGACCUUGCGCUAAUAGAUGAGCCUAAGUCAGAUUAGCUAGUUGGUGGGGUAAAGGCCUACCAAGGCGACGAUCUGUAGCGGGUCUGAGAGGAUGAUCCGCCACACUGGGACUGAGACACGGCCCAGACUCCUACGGGAGGCAGCAGUGGGGAAUAUUGGACAAUGGGCGAAAGCCUGAUCCAGCCAUGCCGCGUGUGUGAAGAAGGCCUUUUGGUUGUAAAGCACUUUAAGCGAGGAGGAGGCUACUUAGAUUAAUACUCUAGGAUAGUGGACGUUACUCGCAGAAUAAGCACCGGCUAACUCUGUGCCAGCAGCCGCGGUAAUACAGAGGGUGCGAGCGUUAAUCGGAUUUACUGGGCGUAAAGCGUGCGUAGGCGGCUUUUUAAGUCGGAUGUGAAAUCCCUGAGCUUAACUUAGGAAUUGCAUUCGAUACUGGGAAGCUAGAGUAUGGGAGAGGAUGGUAGAAUUCCAGGUGUAGCGGUGAAAUGCGUAGAGAUCUGGAGGAAUACCGAUGGCGAAGGCAGCCAUCUGGCCUAAUACUGACGCUGAGGUACGAAAGCAUGGGGAGCAAACAGGAUUAGAUACCCUGGUAGUCCAUGCCGUAAACGAUGUCUACUAGCCGUUGGGGCCUUUGAGGCUUUAGUGGCGCAGCUAACGCGAUAAGUAGACCGCCUGGGGAGUACGGUCGCAAGACUAAAACUCAGAGGAAUUGACGGA